CUUGGUGGUAUUCUGGGCAAGUGGGAGCCAUGGAAGGUUGUGGAGGGAGAGCAGCCCGCACCGUGGCCCUGGAUGGCUGGAGCAGCUGGAGCAGCGGAGAUGCGGGAGAAAGGGAGAAAGGGAAAGUGCCCGGGGUCGGGGUAGCUGCAGAUCAAAGACCGCAGUGUGAUAUACAGUGGACCCUUGAGUUUUGACCGGCCUGAACAACUGGGUUACGACUGGAAUUUUAGUUUUAACUUACGACUAAAGUCUUGCGUUACCACCCAAGUGCUGGCUGCUCAGGGUUUCCGAUGGGCUCAGGUGCAGGCUGAACCCUAAAGGUCUCUGGAAGGAACAGGACAGCGUCCUCUGCCGUGUGGGCCUCACUGAGCAAUCCCGGGCCGGGGUCUCUCUCAGGACCCUGAGCUCUGCCUGUGGGCAGCAGAGAGGCCCUGAAGGCUGUGGAGGGGCUGAGCCUCCACUGACAGACCUGGGUUACAACCAGCCCUGGGGCACGAUUGGGUUCCUAAGUCAAGGGUCCAGUGUAAUUAAACUGGUUCGGACAGUCUGACCUUUGCCCCAGGAGGCUGAUUUUGGAUUUCUGGACUCCUCAGCAGCACCAGGCAUUUGUGUUGAUUGCAGCCAGAAGUUUAUUGGCUUCGUUUCUCUCCCAAACGAACACAGCCUCUCAAACCCCAACAGUUCAACGAUGGAGCUUUUGAAAUUCUCCUGCCUCUGCUUAACUGGUUUCCCUCAGUGUGUCCUUUGCAGUGAUUAUCUCAUCGUCGGCUUGAAAACCGUGAGCAGAUCUGCACUGCACGGAACCAGUGGUGCACUGAGCUCCACUUUUAUUCUGAGGCGGAAUCUCACCGUGUGGCCCAGGCUGGGCUUGAACCUGCAAUCCUCCUGCCUCAGCCUCCUGGAUAGCUAGGAUGACCGCCAUGCACCACCUCGCCCAGCUGGAAACUGACUUUUUGGCCUGGCUCAUCUGGGCUGGCCUUUGUCCUUCAGCCCUCUGGGAAUCUGUGCGGACCCGGAAGCAAAGCUGAUCAGCUCACAGGGGCCUAAAAGCAAAGAGAGAGAAGCUGGGGCCCCAGUAUACCUUCCCACACUCCACCCCACGAUCUCAGGGUCUCCCACCAGGCCCUGCCUUUUAAAGGCCUCUCCACCUUCCAGGGGCACCGAGCUAGGCUUCAGGAGACGAGGAAAGUCCAUGCCAGUGCAGGGGUGGGACCUGAACGUGGUCUUGAGCCCAGGUUCCGUGGAAACAGAUUCACCGUGAUUUGGUGAGAAACGGGUCCGUUUACCAGCUCUGCUCCUUCUGGGCCUGCCUGGACCCUAAGUUCUGCUCACACCUGUCAGCUCAACCCUCAGGAGGCUGAGGCAGGAGGGUUACUGAAGCUCCGGAGCGUGAGGCCAGCUUGGAUAACAGCAGGACCCCGUCUCAAAAAAGGAAAGAAAAAGAAUAAAGGAGGUGAGCGUGGUGGUGCAUGCCUGCUAUCCCAGCUCUCUGGGAGGCGGAGGCAGGAGGGUCUCCAAUGUGAGCUUAGACCAGGCAGCUCAGUGACUUAGUGAGUCAAUAAAUAAACGGUAAAAGGGCUGGGUUUGUAACUGGGCAGCUGUUUGAGUAGAGAAAAAGACUGGCCAGGUGCCCUGUGCCCCACACAGACAUUUAAGAUCCCAGUGGCAGCCCCCAGGCGGGGAGAUCACCCUGCCUCAGCCUCCCGCCUCUCGGGGUCUUCCCAGGCUGCCUGGGACACAGCCUCAGCCAGCUGUAGACUCUCCUGCCUCGGCCUAGGUCCCCAUCCGUCUGCAGGGCCGGGCCGGGAGCCCUGCCUGGGUCCCAUCGACACCUUCCUGAUGCUGGCUGGGAAAAACGGAAAGCAGAGUUGAGAAAUGCCGUCUCCCCCUGAUUAAAUUCUCCCUGGAGCCCUGGCUCCUGGCAACACUGUGAGGGCUGGGUGUGCAGGGCUGGAAUUCUCCUCCGGAUGCUGCGCUUCCCCUGGGCUCGGCCACCUUCAGCUCUGUUCUGCCCCGGAGAGUGGAGAGCGGAGAGCAGAGAAUGGGUGGAUCAUGCAGAGCGACCGAUCCGGUUCACAGGAGAGGCCCAGGCUCGUCUGAAUGUGCAGCGAGGUGGCUUGGCCAGGGUGAGUCCUCGGGAGGGAGAGGAUUUUCUUUCUUUGGUUUCUGAGCCAUGUAGCCCAGGCUGGCCUCAGACUCGUGGAGGUCCUCCUGCCUCAGCCUCCUGAGUGCUGGCAUUACGGGUGUGCCCCACCAUGCCCAAUUCUUGCUGUGUUGCCCAGGCCGACCUCAAACUCCUGAGUUUAAGCAUCCUCCUGCCUCAGCUCCCCAGGAGCUAGAGGUCUGUCCGCCACCACGCCCGGCUCUACAGUGUCACUUUUGGUAGAGAAUCUCAGCAGCAUUUCAUCAGCUUCUCUGCCUGACCUGGGAAAGGGGAGCCCUUCUUUCCUGGCCCCUCCCCAGCCCCUGGGGACCCCGAAACACCUCCGGUC
rnacentral:lncRNA from 1 species